UAAGGGGGCGGAUGUAGCCAAGUGGAUCAAGGCAG
rnacentral:tRNA from 1 species